AAAGGAUUAGUGGACUAAAUUGGACGAAAGAAAAGUUAGAAAGUGAAGGUUAAGGAGGUGGCAACUUCAAGGACCUAAGUGGACCUUUAACCCACUUAUUAUCAUCGAUUAUGAAUGAUUAUUCAUUCAUUCAAAGCAAAAUUUGCAGCAAAGGAAAGGAAGAACCCGUAACUCCCUUACCCCAAAAUCAACAAAUCUUCUAAACCCCAUAACUUUCUCAAUUUUGAUCCGAAUUUAGCGAUUCUCGCGGCCACGGAACGAGGAAACGAUUAUCUACAGAUCUAUGGCUUCAAUUUGAGGUGUUAUUGAGCUUGAUUAUAGAAUUUUGAUGAUGAAUUGGAGCCUAGAACUAUUCGGCAUAGAGACUUUAUCCAAGGGAUGGUAUGAUAUGAUUUGAAGAGUUAAGCUUCCGAAGUUUUAAUUCUCGGAAGUCAUUUGUAUAAGAAGAAAAAGAAGGUUUUCAUUCUAGCGGUCCGCAGUAGUCUAGAUAUUUUAACUAGAAUUUUGUAUAACGCGUUUUUAACUCUGAUAUUAUUUGUAAAUGGGGUCACAUGUAUUUUAAUAUAUGAAAUAUGUUUUGA